GGCAGUGGUGGCUCAAUGGUUAAGGCUCUGGACUACUGAUCAGAAAGUUGAGGGUUCAAGCCCCAGCACUACCA